GUGGGUCUGAGCCCUCAGGUGGGAAGGUUGGGGUACCUGUCUAGGUGUGGGCAGCCGGGCUGCUUGUUCCCAAGCCCAGGUGCAGAGACUUUGCGUUCUUGGGAAAAUGCAAAAGAUGAACCACAAGGUGGCGCUCAGCACAUAAGAAUUCUAGGACCACUCAAAGCUUCCCUCCUUCCCGGAACUUAAACUUUUUAUUAACUCUCGAUUUACGAAAACAAUAAUAUACAUAAAAGAAAUUCGAGACUUUCCUGGAUAUCCUUUCCUUUUUCUCCUUUUCCAAUAUUUCCAGCUUGAUUCGGAUAACCUAAUCCUGCGUCAUCCCAAGGUCUAGUCCAGAAUGGCAGGAGCAGCCUCCUGAACUCCCAGCAAAGAAAGCUCCAUUUCAAAGGGAACUGAGAACAGUAACGAAGGCACAGAACGCCCUGCCAUCCGUGGUUUCCUAGAUGGAUAAACUGUUUUCCCCCCCAGAAUACUGAAAGCGGGGCAAAAUCUGGGAGUCAGGCAGAGCAGCCUUCAGAAUGUGAUCUUAGGAUUUUCUCCUGACCCCAAAAUUCCACCGGUAGGGAGGAGUUCGAGUUUAUGCAAAAAUUAUUCUAUUGCUACACACUUCCACAUUUUCCCUUUUUUGUACCACGUUACCUUCCGUCGUUUCUCAGAUUUCCACUCGCUGUGAUGUGCGUCAUUCUCUCUCCCCAUCCUGCCAAGACAAGUUACUCUCCCUCACCACCAGAGCUCUGUGCUAUUCAGGGCCCAGCCGGCUGGCUGCCUUAGGACACGGGGUGGGGCCGAGGGUGACUGGACUGUUCAGAGACCAGAUGCACUGGGGAGGGAACCCAGACCUUUGGAACUUUGGAAACAAGUGUGUUCUGUGUCCUUGCAGAAAGUCACAUGAACAGCAAAUUUCCCAAAAUUUUUUCCUCUUAUUGUCUUUUCGUGUGUUGUAUGUGUGUGUGUGUAUGUGUACAUAAAAUAUUAAUUUCAACUGCUGUCUGAAAUAUCCUCACUGAGUUCUGCUGCCUUUCACGGUCAAGGGGGGCCCCUGCCUUGCGGGGUGCGUAGCAUCGUUUGUAAGAUCCAGCCUGCAUGUUCCAACCAGCCAGUGUGAGGUCACCUUCUGCGAGCUUGAUUCCCAGGACCAUCCAAUCUGGGCACCUCGAUCACAGUCAGAGUGUGUGGUUGGUUGAGGACUCAGCCCCAUGUCUCCCCAGGACAAGCCCGCCAUUGCUUCAUCAUUGGCUGGGGCCACCCCUGGGAGAUGUGGCCUCGAUGCAAAUACUUAGUAGACAAUAAGCCAGAGCUAAAGAAAUAAAUGAUUCUACAACCUUCUUGAAGGUCACCUGUGAUGGUGAGAGGAAGAAACGGGACGUCUAUAAAAGGAAUCCUUUUAGCAGCAAAAUCUGUUGAAAUCAAGAUGUGCAGAUCUUGAUGGGAAUAUGUACGUAAUUUAAUAUGAAGUCUGCAUCAACCCCAAAGGAUGGAGAGAUGAAUUUACUGCUCAGCCAAGGGGGCACGCAAGUUCUCCCAGGUUCUAUUCCGUGGCUCCAUGCAGAUGCAUCUGCCUUCCCACCAGCGGUGUUAAUUAAGCAGCGUCCAUGGGCCCAUAACACCUAGGCAUCGAGCAGACCCAGCGGAACGCAACUCCAAUGACUGAAUUCCUCUCCCGUCACGUGACACGGGCUGCCAUGACAAGCAUCAUGGACUGAGUGACUUAAAAAUCAGAAACUGAUUUCCUCACGGUUCUGGAGGCUGGAAGUCCAAGAUCAAAGUGUCAGCAAGACCAGAAUUUCCGACAGUAGCCAAAGCUUUGUUUUGCUCUUCAGUUAUGUCACGAGUCUUAUUUGAACAAUGUCGCUUUAUUGAGAACUGAGGCUUUGCCCAGACGGACGCCACGUGCUCGGCACAAACAUCUUGUUUUUAAUGAGGAAAGUGUAGACUCAAUAUCCACAAGGAAAAGGAAGCUUUUGGUAUCUGACAUUCCUGCCAGUCCUUUGGGGGGCUUGAAAUGUGUAACAUCUGGGCACGAUAAACAAUAAUAAGGUCUAAUAAUGUUUUCAGUGCUCAGCAUCUUCUUAAUAACCUGUCUACAGACCUUUUAAAUGCCCUACACAAAUAAUAACACUAAAGUUUUGAAACCACAGGCAUCAUUAGCUUGCAUGUCCUGAGAACCACUCUGCGGCACACGUGAUGUGACGUUCCUGGCUGAGAGAAACAUUUAUCACAGCACAGGGGGAAAUGCCUAAUGAGUUACAUGGAAACAAGACGUCCCGACUCUUGAAUUUGGGAUUUGUGCUCCAUCUUGAUGCAGGCACUGUGGACUGAAUGGUUGUGAUGAUUAAGUUCCAACUUGAGCCAGUGGAACAAUGCAAAAAAUCCAGCACUCUAUUUGGCUAACUUUUCUUUUUACAUUUUAAAUACGUUUGGGUUUUUGCACAGCUUUUAAAAAUCCUAAAUACAACUCGCAAGAAUUCUACCAAUGCAGCAGCAAGACAAGGCCGUAAUUUAUUUGGGAAAUUGACCAAAACAAAAAUACAUUUCUGGAAAAGGUGAAGAAUGACUUUCCCUUUCUCUUUCUCCGUUUGCUGAGCAGUUCUGUGUGCUUGGCUCAGGCAGGAGAAACAAGCAUUGAUAAAUUAGGUGUGGCGAGCCCCCUCCUGCCAUGUUUGGAUGGAGGACCUGUGGCAUGCUUUCCUUUAAUUACCUGUCAUUUUCUUUCUCUCCUUGGGAACGUCGGGGAGCUGUCCAGAAAAAUAAUUGCUUCACAUGUAGGGUGGGUCAAGACCUUUUCCAAGCUCUCUAGAAAAAAGAAUAAAAUAUUACAUUCAAAUACCUGUCUUGCAAAUACUUGUAUAUUUGUACUUCCCAUAAUUCCACUGUGCAAACAAGCGAUGGGCCUGGGUCAGUCCGGUAUUACCUUCCAAGGCGGCGGUUGUUAUGAGGAAUAAAAGGUGGAAAUAUGUGGUCUCUUUCUCGAAGACACGGAAAGUAACAAAACAUUCCUAAUUUAAAGUUAGCCAGGAAUAUGAGACAGCAUUUGUGUUUAUAGGGGAAUUGAAAACUACAAAGAAUGUGGUCGUUGUUUCAGAGAAGAGAUAUACAGGGGGCUGACAUGCUCACGGUGGGUUUCCCCCGAAGGCCAGCUGUGUCUUUCUAAAUUGAAG
rnacentral:lncRNA from 1 species